GCACAGUGGCUCACACCUGUAAUCCCAGAACUUUAAGAGGCUGGGGGCAGGUAGAUCAUUUAAGGUCAGGAUUUGAGACCAGCCUGGCCAACAUGGUAAAACCCUGUCUCUACUAAAAA